CAAGAGCGUAUGUAAAAGUUGUUGCAGUUAAAAAGCUCGUAGUUGAACCUUGGGUUUGGUUGGCCGGUCCGCUUUUUUGCGAGUACUGGAUUCAACCGAGCCUUUCCUUCUGGCUAACCAGUCGUUUCGGCGGCUGGCGAACCAGGAUUUUUACUUUGCGAAAAUUAGAGUGUUCAAAGCAGGCAUUAGCUUGAAUAUAUUAGCAUGGAAUAAUAGAAUAGGACGUUAUGGUUCUAUUUUGUUGGUUUCUAGGACCAUCGUAAUGAUUAAUAGGGACGGUCGGGGGCAUCAGUAUUCAGUUGUCAGAGGUGAAAUUCUUGGAUUUACUGAAGACUAACUACUGCGAAAGCAUUUGCCAAGGACGUUUUCAUUAA
rnacentral:rRNA from 1 species